rnacentral:tRNA from 1 species
ACCAGCGUAGCUCAAUUGGCAGAGCAUCGGUCUCCAAAACCGAGGGUUGCAGGUUCGAGUCCUGCCGCUGGUGCCU